AGUGAACGCUGGCGGCAGGCCUAAUACAUGCAAGUCGAACGGCAGCACAGCAGAGCUUGCUCUGUGGGUGGCGAGUGGCGGACGGGUGAGGAAUACAUGGGAAUCUGCCCAGUCGUGGGGGAUAACGUAUGGAAACGUACGCUAAUACCGCAUGCGCCCUUUGGGGGAAAGCCGGGGACCUUCGGGCCUGGCGCGAUUGGAUGAGCCCAUGUUCGAUUAGCUAGUUGGCGGGGUAAAGGCCCACCAAGGCGACGAUCGAUAGCUGGUCUGAGAGGAUGAUCAGCCACACUGGGACUGAGACACGGUCCAGACUCCUACGGGAGGCAGCAGUAGGGAAUAUUGGACAAUGGGCGCAAGCCUGAUCCAGCCAUGCCGCGUGAGUGAAGAAGGCCCUCGGGUUGUAAAGCUCUUUUGUCCGGAAAGAAAAGCAUUCGGUUAAUACCCGGGUGUUCUGACGGUACCGGAAGAAUAAGCACCGGCUAACUUCGUG
rnacentral:rRNA from 1 species